CCCAGUUAACUUUAUUCAUAAAUAAAUAUAUAAUAAAUAAAAAAAUGAAAAAUGAAUUAAAGAAAAAAACAAGGUCUUUCAAAUAACCAUUACUAAUAAGAAAAGGGCAAAAAAAAAAAAAAAAAAAAAGAAACAGAGAAAAAAAGGAAGAGGUAGAGAAGAGAGAAAAAAGGGAUGACGAGAAAUCGGCGAGAUUUGUGACGAAAUAAUCAACAGUAAACUUACCCAGAUGACAAGGUUAGUGGGCAAGUAGCAUGAGACGCCUCCUUCCAGUUAUUAUCCCAAAAGAGCAACACCUCUCUCUCUCUGCUCUAAUCCUCACACCUUGCGGGCUUGUCCUCUUCUACUCGAGCAUUUUUAUGAAGAAAUCACCCACUACCCACGAUUCCUUAGAUAGAGAAAUUAAGCCAGAGAGAGAAAGAGAUUAAAAAAAUUUGGAGAUAUAGAGAGUUGCAGAGAGAGAGAGAGAGAGAGAGAGAGAGAGAGAGAGAGAGAGAGAG